rnacentral:rRNA from 1 species
AGAGUUUGAUGGUGGCUCAGGAUGAACGCUGGCGGCGUGCCUAACACAUGCAAGUCGAGCGAGAAGCUUUUAACGGACGCUUCGGUUGAAGUUAAGAGUGGAAAGCGGCGGACGGGUGAGUAACGCGUAGGCAACCUGCCCCUUGCAGAGGGAUAGCCUCGGGAAACCGGGAUUAAAACCACAUAAAUCCUUUUUAUCGCAUGAUAGAGAGGACAAAGAUUUAUCGGCAAGGGAUGGGCCUGCGUCUGAUUAGUUAGUUGGUGGGGUAACGGCCUACCAAGGCGACGAUCAGUAGCCGACCUGAGAGGGUGAACGGCCACAUUGGAACUGAGACACGGUCCAAACUCCUACGGGAGGCAGCAGUGGGGAAUCUUGCACAAUGGGCGAAAGCCUGAUGCAGCAACGCCGCGUGAGCGAAGAAGGCCUUUGGGUCGUAAAGCUCUGUCGGUAGGGAAGAAGGAAGUGACGGUACCUACCGAGGAAGCCCCGGCUAACUACGUGCCAGCAGCCGCGGUAAUACGUAGGGGGCGAGCGUUAUCCGGAAUUAUUGGGCGUAAAGAGUACGUAGGCGGUUUUUUAAGCGAGGGGUAUAAGGCAGCGGCUUAACUGCUGUUGGCCCCUCGAACUGGAGGACUUGAGUGUCGGAGAGGAAAGCGGAAUUCCUAGUGUAGCGGUGAAAUGCGUAGAGAUUAGGAGGAACACCAGUGGCGAAGGCGGCUUUCUGGACGACAACUGACGCUGAGGUACGAAAGCGUGGGGAGCAAACAGGAUUAGAUACCCUGGUAGUCCACGCCGUAAACGAUGAGCACUAGGUGUCGGGUUCGCAAGAAUUCGGUGCCGGAGUAACGCAAUAAGUG